ensembl:lncRNA
CUGCCUUCAGCCAAGAUCCCAGAGGCUGGAGCCGGGUGCUGGGCAGCCACUGGAAUUUUAGUAAAAAUGAGUCCUAUCAUGGCUUUCAGAUCACUGGUAGGACAUGGAAGAAAUGGGACUUCGGACGGGGCACGUGUUGUCCCCAUCAGACUGCUCUCUACGCCCUCCCUGUCUGCUUUGCUUUCUGGGCAGCUCCAACUGACCUCCUCCCUUUAGACUUUUCUGGAUAGAAGUCAUGCUCAGUCCCUAGGCACAUUCUCCUGCUGCCUCAGAAACAAGAAGGAUAGAGGCUGGGUUCCCCCAAGGACUCCCAGGUGUGGCCAGCUUCUACUCAGGAAACCACACCCAGGGCAGCAGGCUGGCACUGUGUCUGAAAGAGGCAGUUACCACAAUGUCUUUAUCUCUGAUCACCGGAUGUGUUUUGAAUCAGCACAGUGAAUAUUCAAAAUGGUUUUUCCUUGGACAAAUUAAGGACUCGAUGAUCAGCGUAACAGGGGUAGAAAUGACCUCUCACUGGUGAAGUGGGCGCUGUUCACGGGAGGUGGACUGGCUACUGCAUCUCAGACCCUCCUCACCUGUGGGAGCAGAGUGUGAGAGAGGAGCCUGCAGACCGUUCUUUAGGGGCGACACCCGAAGCUGAUCUCUGGCUAUGCCCGUGCCCUUCCCUGCGGGAUGAUUUCUGGUUACCUAAGGCUGACAGUUCGGACAACAGAAUCCUGCGCUGGGUGAACCUUUCAUGCAAGAUGGGGUCACAGCACCUAAAAGGACAGAGGCUUGUGUCUUCAUUCAGCUUUCAGAACAGGAUGGAUGACAGCUCUGUGCCUCUGUGGUGAACAUGUUUAAUAAAUGCCUGUGUGAGUGACGUAA